GAGAGGUAGCUGCGUGCCACGCUGACCGCUCUUGUGCAACGUGAUGGCACCUGGCCAAUGAGGCUUAAACGCUUAACUGGAUUUGUUUAAUCCUCUUUGGUGGGUUGCCAAGCUUGUGCUCAUUGGUCGGAGCAGCUGUCAAUC
rnacentral:miRNA from 1 species